rnacentral:rRNA from 1 species
UACGUAGGGAGCAAGCGUUGUUCGGAUUUACUGGGCGUAAAGGGCGCGUAGGCGGCGUUGUAAGUCACUUGUGAAAUCUCUGAGCUUAACUCAGAACGGCCAAGUGAUACUGCGGUGCUAGAGUGCAGAAGGGGCAAUCGGAAUUCUUGGUGUAGCGGUGAAAUGCGUAGAUAUCAAGAGGAACACCUGAGGUGAAGACGGGUUGCUGGGCUGACACUGACGCUGACAGCGCGAAAGCUAGGGGAGCAAACGGG